rnacentral:siRNA from 1 species
UCAUCUUCCGGUGAAGAAUGC